GAUGAACGCUGGCGGCGUGCCUAAUACAUGCAAGUCGAGCGAACAGAUGAGGAGCUUGCUCCUCUGACGUUAGCGGCGGACGGGUGAGUAACACGUGGAUAACCUACCUAUAAGACUGGGAUAACUUCGGGAAACCGGAGCUAAUACCGGAUAAUAUAUUGAACCGCAUGGUUCAAUAGUGAAAGACGGUUUUGCUGUCUGUUAUAGAUGGAUCCGCGCCGCAUUAGCUAGUUGGUAAGGUAACGGCUUACCAAGGCAACGAUGCGUAGCCGACCGGAGAGGGUGAUCCGCCACACUGGAACUGAGACACGGUCCAGACUCCUACGGGAGGCAGCAGUAGGGAAUCUUCCGCAAUGGGCGAAAGCCUGACGGAGCAACGCCGCGUGAGUGAUGAAGGGCGUCGGAUCGUAAAACUCUGUUAUUAGGGAAGAACAAACGUGUAAGUAACUAUGCACGUCUUUACGGUACCUAAUCAGAAAGCCACGGCUAACUACGUGC
rnacentral:rRNA from 1 species